ensembl:lncRNA
AGCACUGGUGUAGAGUAUCUCACAUAAAUACAGUAGGUUAUGGAUUAAGUGAACGUGAACAGCAUGCAGGGACUGAUAACCAGGGUAAUAAUUCCAGACGACGCCUUUUCCCCCUGAUCCAGAAAAGGAAACUAGGGGUGAGGAGAAGGGUGUCGACCCAGGCCCCAGAAUUCACUCCAGUGUUGGCCCAGUCCCAGAGUAUUGCCCAUGGAGGGCUCCCAAUCCCCAGUCAAGCCCAGGAAGGGCUCCCAAUCCCGAUUAAGCCCACGGAGGACUCCUGUUCCAGAGUACAGCCCACAGAGGGCUCCUGAUCCAGAGUUAAGCCCAAGGAGGGCUCCCGAUGCCCAGUUCAGCCCAGGAAGGGCUCCUGUUCCCGAAUAUAGCCCACGGAGGGCACGUAAAACCUAGGGAGGGCUCCAGACCCUAAAUAUAGCCCUGUAAAGUGGCAGAGGCGGGGGCAUGGACAGCGGCCUCAGAGGCUGCUAUGCCAUGGCCUCCCGAGUCCCCAGAUCUGCCAUGGCCUCCCGAGUCCCCAGAUCCGCCAUGGCCUCUCGAGUCUUCAGAUCCGCCAUGGCCUCCAGAGUCUCUAGAACCGGCAUGGCUUCCGAGUCCACAGAUCCACCAUGGCCUCCCAAGUCCCCUGAUCCGCCAUGACUCCCCCCACGGGUUCUACCACUGUCCCAUGUCUGUCCUGAGGGACCUCCAGAGUGCCCACCCCUCCUCCCCGUUGGAUGUUAUGUGGCAUGAGGUCACGCCUUCUGGAGGGGUCGUUAUGUCAGAGUCUGUCCCGUGUUUUGUUUAUAUCUACUCCUUGUGCUACGUGUGAUUCCCUGACAUCUGAAUAAAUUCCUUGUUGAUGUACUCCUGGUCUCCUCAUUCCUUGCUCUGUGCUCCUUCACAGUAGCAAAUUGUGACAACCAGUAGCAUCCAGAUACAGUGUGUAGCACUUUUUUGACUCUGUGAAAGAGACAGCGCCCUGAGUUCAAUUUAAAUAUAUUCUUUACCCUUAAAUGGUAUUCACCUCAGGUUUCCUAUCUUUUAUUAAAAUUCAGCAUCACAUUAGUUCAGGCAGGCCACGUUAGUCAAGAUUGCUUCAGCCGACAGUCAGCUGUUCCUGAC